GAACGCACAUUGCGCCCUUUGGUAUUCCGAAGGGCAUGCCUGUUCGAGCGUCAUUAUCACCCCUCAAGCCCCGUGCUUGGUACUGGAGGUCGGUUUCAGUGAUGAAACCCCUCUCAAUGACAACGACGGCGGCCUGUGGUUCCCCCGGUACACUGAGCUUUGACGAGCACGUAUCGGAUCAAGGGCGCCCGGGUCACGGUCUUCUCCCCCAACGGGGAAAUUUUUACAAGGUUGACCUCGGAUCAGGUAGGAAUACGCGCUGAACUUAAG
rnacentral:misc_RNA from 1 species